AGGACGAACGCUGGCGGCGUGCUUAACACAUGCAAGUCGAGCGGAAAGGCCCUUCGGGGUACUCGAGCGGCGAACGGGUGAGUAACACGUGAGUAAUCUGCCCCUAGCUCUGGGAUAGCUCCGGGAAACCGGGAUUAAUACCAGAUACGACCACUUUAGACAUCUGUUGUGGUGGAAAGAAUUUCGGCUAGGGAUGAGCUCGCGGCCUAUCAGCUUGUUGGUGAGGUAACGGCUCACCAAGGCGACGACGGGUAGCCGGCCUGAGAGGGCGACCGGCCACACUGGGACUGAGACACGGCCCAGACUCCUACGGGAGGCAGCAGUGGGGAAUAUUGCGCAAUGGGCGAAAGCCUGACGCAGCGACGCCGCGUGGGGGAUGAAGGCCUUCGGGUUGUAAACCCCUGUUGCCCGGGACGAAUGUGCAUUUUUGAAUGCAUUGACGGUACCGGGUGAGGAAGCACCGGCUAACUCCGUGCCAGCAGCCGC
rnacentral:rRNA from 1 species